UAUAAAUACGCUCCUUUGCGUGUUUGAAUUUGGCAUAGAGAAAACUUUUUUUGCGAGAGAGUUCUCUAUGUUUUUUAUUAUACA
rnacentral:antisense_RNA from 2 species